CAGCCGCCACGGUAAUACGAAGGGUGCAAGCGUUAAUCGGAAUUACUGGGCGUAAAGCGUGCGUAGGCGGUGGGUUAAGUCUGCUGUGAAAUCCCCGGGCUCAACCUGGGAAUGGCAGUGGAUACUGGCUCGCUAGAGUGUGUCAGAGGAUGGUGGAAUUCCCGGUGUAGCGGUGAAAUGCGUAGAGAUCGGGAGGAACAUCAGUGGCGAAGGCGGCCAUCUGGGACAACACUGACGCUGAGGCACGAAAGCGUGGGGAGCAAACAGGAUUAGAUACCCGUGUAGUCCCUGUCUCUUAUAC
rnacentral:rRNA from 1 species